GUUUUGUCAUUCGUAUUGUGAAGC
rnacentral:miRNA from 1 species